ncrna:unclassified sequences C4 antisense RNA
CGUCGCGGCGGCUGUGCGCAGGCAGACUUCGGUCUGGCCGGUUGCCUACUUAUCGGUUUUCCACCCUGCGUACAGCUGCCACCUUU